GCUCGCGCACCUCGUCCUCGUACAGCUGCACCGUCUCCCGCCACGACUCGGCCACCAGCAGUGCGUAGCUGUCGUGCACCUCCCGCAGGCGUGGCGGGGGCGCGGCGGGGCCGGUGGCGCGGCCGCGGAAGUGCAUGGCAGAACACCUUAGGGACCAUCAACCCCAGGUGGUGUCGUUUCCAGUGAAAACGGAACUCCGGGGUGUAGCCGGAUUGGAGAGAAGAGAGUGACAUGUGCGCCCCCUUCCUGCGGUGGAUAGAUGAACGGGUGAUUGUGAACAUCUGGUGAGAGAAUGGAUGUGAAGGUCUAGUAACAUUAGAACACUACAAAAAUCACACAUUUGAGUCAGCUCUGGGGAGUCUGGAGCCAUCCUUCUCAAAUGUUCUCCCCUUUGGGGGACACAUACCCAGCCCUUCUCCUGGAACAGGGACAAGACUCAAAUGGAAUUCCUGCCCUGCUGGGAAGCAGCUUCCUGGGGGCCAGCUGUGCCCCCCGGAGGCUGGGUGACGGUCAGCAGGGUGAGAACACGGAGGUGCCUCCGUAUUCUCACUUCACUCUUGGCCCUGAUGUCCUGAACUGGA
rnacentral:antisense_RNA from 1 species